GUGUUCAAGUUUUUAAGGGCAUACGGUGGAUGCCUUGGCAUCAGGAGCCGAUGAAGGACGUGGGAGCCUGCGAUAUGCCUCGGGGAGUCGGCAACCAGACUUUGAUCCGGGGAUUUCCGAAUGGGGAAACCUGGCACCCGUCAUGGGGUGUCGCCGCCGUCUGAAUGUAUAGGGCGGUUGGUGGGAACGCGGGGAAGUGAAACAUCUCAGUACCCGCAGGAAGAGAAAACAAGAGUGAUUCCGUGAGUAGUGGUGAGCGAAAGCGGAGGAGCCUAAACCGUGCGCGUGUGAUAGCUGGUAGGGGUUGCGUGUGCGGGGUUGUGGGACCAUCCUGUCGGGUCUACCAGCCUGGCGGAGAGUUACAAAGUGGCGCGGUAGUCGAAUGGCAUGGGAAGGCCGACCGUAGACGGUGAGAGUCCGGUAGACGAAAUCAUGCUGCCUCUUGGGUGUGUUCCCCGAGUAGCACGGGGCCCGUGAAAUCCCCGUGUGAAUCUGCCACGACCACGUGGUAAGGCUGAAUACUUCCUGAUGACCGAUAGCGGACCAGUACCCGUGAGGGAAUGGUGAAAAGUGCCCCGGUGAGGGGUCGUGAAAGAGUACCUGAAACCCGUGUGCCUACAAGCCGUCAGAGCCGUCCUCGAGGGGUCCUUUGGUGGUGUUGUUCGUGAUGGCGUGCCUUUUGAAGAAUGAGCCUGCGAGUUAUGGUGUGUGGCCAAGGUUAACCGGUUGCGGGUAGCCGUAGCGAAAGCGAGUCUGAAUAGGGCGUUUGAGUCGCAUGCUGUAGACCCGAAGCGGGGUGAUCUAGCCAUGGGCAGGGUGAAGCGCCGGUAAGACGGUGUGAAGGCCCGAACCCACCAGGGUUGAAAACCUGGGGGAUGACCUGUGGUUAGGGGUGAAAGGCCAAUCAAACUCCGUGAUAGCUGGUUCUCCCCGAAAUGCAUUUAGGUGCAGCGUUGCGUGUUUCUUGCCGGAGGUAGAGCUACUGGAUGGCCGAUGGGCCCGACAAGGUUACUGACGUCAGCCAAACUCCGAAUGCCGGUAAGUGAGAGCGUGGCAGUGAGACUGCGGGGGAUAAGCUUCGUAGUCGAGAGGGAAACAGCCCAGAUCAUCGGUUAAGGCCCCUAAGCGUGUGCUAAGUGGUAAAGGAUGUGGAGUUGCCGUGACAACCAGGAGGUUGGCUUAGAAGCAGCCAUCCUUGAAAGAGUGCGUAAUAGCUCACUGGU
rnacentral:rRNA from 1 species